rnacentral:lncRNA from 1 species
UUGAGAGGAAAGACAAGAAAAAGAGAGCACGAAGAAAGAAAAAGAAAGAAAUUUCUAAGAGGUUCAAUCUUUCAGUAGAAAUUUUGUUGAUUUUUUUAGAGAAUUCGUCGGCUAGGAAAGAGGCUCUGAGUUGACGACAAUAUUUUCUGGUGGUUGGAAUCCUAUCAUCAACUCGUCGUCCCAUUUUGAUGCCCAAAAAUCGGUCAGUGCUCGAUUUUUUCUUUGUUGUCGUGUUAUAAUAGUCGUAGCAGUAGAGUUUUGGUUUCGAUUAUUGCAUUGUAUGUUGUUCCUUUUUGUAGAGGUCUUAAAAGUUCAUAGAAUUGAUGAUGUUCUAAUAAUGUUAUAGUACUGCGUUGAUCAACUAUUUGAGCCCCUUUUGUUCAUUUGAAGGUAUGGCUUCAUAUUUCUGUAAGAGUGUAAGAGUGAGGGAUGUUGUUGUAUUUAUAAUUUUCUUUAUCAGUGUAAAAAUGUUGUUUGUUUUGAUCCAUCUUUUCUCGAGGUUGGUCGAUUUGAAUCUUUGUUUUCUUUUGUGAAAUGGUCCAAGUGGUGUUAUUCUUAUUCUCAGGAAUUUCCACUGAUUCAUCCUUUUGUCUUCGAAAGAGACUCGAAAGGGGUUGGAAUCAAGACUAAAAAUCAUUUUUUUUAUUUGUCUCCUGGUGAGUUAAACUUUUUUUUGUGGAUUAAUUCAAAUAUUAAUGUUCUUGUUCCUGAAAGUUUUCACCGGUUCAUCCUUUUAGCUUCGAAAGAGACUCGAAAGGGGUUGGAAUCAAGACUAAAUUUUUUUUUAUUUUAUCUCCUGAUGAGUUAAACUUUUUUUGUGGAUUGGUUCAAAUAUUAAUAAUCUUGUUCCUGAAAGUUUUCACUGGUUCAUCCUUUUGGCUUCGAAAGAGACUCGAAAGGGGUUGGAAUCAAGAUUAAAAUUAAUUUUUGAUCCAUCUUCGCACAAUUUGAAUCCUUUAAUGAAUUGGUUAAAACAUCGGUAGCUCUCACUGAUUCACCUUUUCAGUCUUAAAAAGACUUAAAGGGGUUAGAAUUGAGAUUAAAUCUACCUAUCUGACUCGUUUUUGCGAAUCUUUCCCCAAUUUCUUUUAAGAUAUCUGAUAGAUAACAUGUGCAUCCUACUAAGUUUGUAAUGUGCAGUUUAUCAUUAUAUAAAUGAUGUCAUUCAUUUUGAAUCAUAAGUCAUAACGUAUAUUGGCGCAAAUGAAAUUUCUUUUACUUUAAUGCUUCUGUAAGGGAAAUGGCCUUGAUAAAUUACUUCUUCACAAUAUUAUUUGAAUCCAUAUCUUGGGUGUAGUUUUCUAAGAGAACAUGCUAUAGUUAUUCUUUAGCUACUGCUGAAAGUUCUUUCCUGUUGUUCUCAUUGUGUUCCCGCAAUAGGUGAGAUAUGCAUUCGGGGUUAUAAUCAUUCCCUAAUACAUAGUAAGGGGGGCCAUACUUUCUUUCUUUUUUAGUAUUUGGUAUUUAGGUGGUACUUAAAGAAGCGGAUUUAUGUUAUAAGGUUAAUCCGAAUCUACAAGGUUAUGUCUUUUAGUGUGUUAUUUGGAGUAUCUAGCUCAUGGUAUUAUUAGACAUAUCACUUGUUGUUGUAUUGCUUGAAUUUUUCAUUUUGUCAUUAAUUUCUUUAACAUGUUAAUCCCUAAUUCGGAAUACUUAUUAACUCCUUCCUUGUUCUUUUUCUUUUUCCUUUGCAUGCACCCGCUUCGGAGUCUAAGAGUCUAUACGAACUCCUUCUCUCUUUGCAUUUCAUGAACGGGCCAAGGAGGCCUCUCCUCUGAGUCGAACCCCAAAGAAUGACUAAAAUGAAUUGCAUGACGUACGGAUAUAAGGAGUUGAAAGGAGAAGAAUGAGUUAAAGUUCCCUCGAAGCGUUUAAGAGACUUGAACGUCUCUUUGGUUUAUUUAUUCAUUCUGUGGUUGUAUUUAUUUAUUUAGUUUAUUAUUCAUUCGUUUGGGCCACGAAACCAAGUUUUUAUUUAGUACAGGUGGAUCGAGACUCAAUUCAAAGGCUCAAAAGCUAGAUUAGGAUAGGUGAAAUGGGUCGAAGGCCCAAUUAGACUAGUACGGGUCUUAUUGAUUUGGGCCCAAUGAUCUGAAUCCUUUACUUCCUCCCCU